rnacentral:lncRNA from 1 species
GGAUAGUUUCCCUGGGAGGCAGAUAGGAUUCUGCACCCUAGGAUUGUUCACCUUUUAAAAAUGGGUCCUGCUCAGCCCUUUUGGAUUCACUCACCGAAAGGUCAUGACUUUCUGGCUUUUCAUCUUUUUGGAUGGCUGCUUGUCACAAUGUCUUCUUUGCUUUAGGCAGC